CCCCUUCUCUUUUUUUUCCGUCUUCUUUCUUUUGGUGGUUGCUCUCACUUCUUCCUACCCUCUACCAACUAGCAGUUGCCACCAACCACUUUUUCUGCCAGUUCUGGUCGCCAGCCAGCCACCAUUUCUGGCCAACAUUCAUUCAAGCCUUUAGUUCACCCAUUUAGCUCCAAAUCAAGGUGCAAUUGAAGGAGUCUACACUUGGAUUCUAUUGUUGAUUGGAGUAGCAAGCUUGAGUAGGUGAAGUUCAAGAACUUGGUAAG